GUCAGAGCAGACCUUGGAAAUCGGUCCACCCCAUUUGCACCGGAAGGAUGUUGCCCUGUAUUUUUUAGAAGGCUGAAGACAAAUACUGCAGUUCACGAAGGCUGCCCACAGCAAACAGCACCGGGAAUACACUGAAGAGGGAAGGCAACACGACCAACCUGCUUCAGCAGCCGGGAUCCAGAAUGUUUAUACAGCACUUUAAAAAUGCUGGCAGUCUUUGGCUCCUCUCUAGGGAAUGGAGAGGGCCCAAGAAAGCAGCAUGAUGAAGCCUCAUCUCUGCAUGAAGGCGUGAUAAAACCCGCUUCCCAUCAUCCACCAAGAAGUAAACCCAAGACGGCAAAAAAAAAAAAAAAUUGCUUGGAUUUUGUCGAGACAAGUCAUUUCCCUAUCGCUGCCUGGGAUCCGGGCGUGCCGCGGUCUCCAUGUGGAUAUUUUUUUUGGGAGACCUUAAUCUAUCUUCUGUAUAUCAUCCCAUGCAAACCAAACACCGCUGCACCCAGAUACUGCAGAGCUGUCCAUCUUCCACGGAUCAAUAACUAUGAUGAUUCAUCAUAUUAGGUAGUACUAACUUUUUGGGAAAGGGGAGGGAAAAAAAAGAAAAACCCCAAGGCUCGCACGCUCACUGCUGCUGUCAUAGCCGGGAAAGCCAUUUCAAGUGUGCACAGGAAGGCGAAAGGGCAACAAGCCCCCUCGCCAAGGAGGCCACGAUUUAAAACUCCCCAGGAUUUAUUUUCUUAGUUAUCGAUUCCCUUCAUUUUAUCAAACAGUUCCCUGAGGGAAGUGAUCUCUAUGAAAGCAAGCAAGAAAAUGGAGGGUUCAGCAUUUCCAGCCUUGGCCUACAAGCAGCGGCCGUGGUUUCCAGGGUGCCGGUUACUCAGCAGUUCUGAACGGUGCCUGAUUUUUCGCGUUGUGGCCUGCCUACAGCAAGGGCUUUCCAAGCGGAGGGCGUUUCACGAGAGCUUCGCUGCACGCACGCCAGUAACCUGUAGCGUGGCUUCGCGACAGCAAGCAAGGGCAGGUGCCGGGGGAAGGGAACGCCUGACGCUGCGGUGCUUGUUGCGGGAAACGGGACGGACGCGCUGCCCCAUCGUUACCGCCGGACCGCGUGGGACUCACCCGGCAGCCCGGGGACAUGCCGCCUGGCGAGCUGGCAGCGCGUCUCCUUCGCCACCCCUCCGUGCCGCUAGCACGCGGGCAGCACCAGCGUUUGGGGCUGCCUCGCUCCAGAGAACAUCUCCCAAGCUAACAGAGAUUCUCCAGGGUGCAUCUGCGCUCUCAGACACCGUUAGCGUGCAAGCGAAUGCAGCCUUGAUGCCAACAUUUGAGACUGCGGGUGAAGAGAAAGGUGGUGAGGAAUGCUCUCACUAUUCCCCAAGUCGCGUUGCAGCCUCGCGGACACCAGAGAGCCUUCCAGUGCCUAGCCCAGGCUUGGGAAGGUGGUGGGCCUGCUGUGGAUGCGUCCCCGGUGCUGGACGUCCAGAGCGGAGCAGUCAGACAGAACAGAGAUCCUGGUGA
rnacentral:lncRNA from 1 species